rnacentral:rRNA from 1 species
AUCCUGGCUUGGGACGGACGCUGGCGGCGCGCCUAAUACAUGCAAGUCGAACGGUCUUUCUAUGGAAGCUUGCUUCCACUGAGAAGAUAGUGGCGAACGGGUGAGUAACACGUGGGUAACCUGCCCAUAAGAGGGGGAUAACAUCCGGAAACGGGUGCUAAUACCGCAUAGUUUUCUUGGUCGCAUGAUCGGGAAAGGAAAGACGGCCUUUGUGCUGUCGCUUAUGGAUGGACCCGCGGCGUAUUAGUUAGUUGGUGAGGUAACGGCUCACCAAGACGAUGAUACGUAGCCGACCUGAGAGGGUGAUCGGCCACAUUGGGACUGAGACACGGCCCAAACUCCUACGGGAGGCAGCAGUAGGGAAUCUUCCGCAAUGGACGAAAGUCUGACGGAGCGAACCGCCGCGUGAACGAAGAAGGCCGUGAGGUUGUAAAGUUCUUUUCGGGAGGGGGAACAACCGUGGCAGGGAAUGGCCGCGGGAUGACGUGAAUCCCGGAAUAAGCCCCGGCUAACUACGUGCCAGCCGCUGC